rnacentral:misc_RNA from 1 species
GCAACUCAAAAUCGUCAGAUGUUACACCUAAGAUCUCAAUAAAGAGCAUCAGAUUGUUACAAAGCAUAUAUUUAUUUCUAUAGUAAGAAAAAUAAUCCCACAAUCGGAGACACACUCAAUCUUGCCCUAAAAUAUUGAUGCUUCUUUUGGAUGUAGAGACAUCUUAAAUGCAUGUAUACACAUUUCCUUCUUUCUUUCUUCCGUCUCUUCGGAGUCUCAGCUUAUAACUCAACAACAUACACAAACGUCUGAAAAAACUCAGACGCAUGACUAAAUAUCAGCUAUUCUCCAUCGGUGUUCCAUGCUGGUACGUACAAAAAGAAUGUUGUCCAAGCCUUAACAUCUUCGUCGAGUAAAAAUACCUAUUUUCAAGUUUGUGGAUCCAAAAUCUGGAAGAUGACUGACUAAGCAGCAGCUGCUUCCUCCUUUUUGGCAAGCUGGUUUUGAAUGUGUUGA